AGGAUGAACGCUAGCGGCAGGCUUAACACAUGCAAGUCGAGGGGUAGUCUAGCAAUAGAUGAGACCGGCGCACGGGUGCGUAACGCGUAUGCAAUCUACCUUGUACAGGGGGAUAGCCCAGAGAAAUUUGGAUUAAUACCCCAUAGUAUAAUUAAAUGGCAUCAUUUGAUUAUUAAAGUUCCAACGGUACAAGAUGAGCAUGCGUCCUAUUAGCUAGUUGGUGUGGUAACGGCAUACCAAGGCUACGAUA
rnacentral:rRNA from 1 species